UACGGGGGGUGCGAGCGUUGUUCGGAAUCAUUGGGCGUAAAGCGCGCGCAGGCGGCUUGGGAAGUCUAUGGGUGAAAUGCCGGGGCUCAACUCCGCGCGUGCCCAGGAUACUCCUAGGCUGGAGACACGUAGAGGCAAGCGGAAUUCCGGGUGUAGCGGUGGAAUGCGUAGAGAUCCGGAAGAACACCGGAGGCGAAGGCGGCUUGCUGGGCGUGAUCUGACGCUGAGGCGCGAAAGCGUGGGGAGCGAACAGG
rnacentral:rRNA from 1 species